AGAGUUUGAUCAUGGCUCAGGAUGAACGCUAGCGGCAGGCCUAACACAUGCAAGUCGAGGGGUAACAUAGGAAAGCUUGCUUUUCUGAUGACGACCGGCGCACGGGUGCGUAACGCGUAUACAACCUACCUUUUAGCGGGGAAUAGCCCAGGGAAACUUGGAUUAAUGCCCCAUAGUAUGGAGAUCUCUCCUGAGAUUUUCAUUAAACAUUUAUGGCUAUUAGAUGGGUAUGCGUCCUAUUAGUUAGUUGGUAAGGUAACGGCUUACCAAGGCAGCGAUAGGUAGGGGUCCUGAGAGGGAGAUCCCCCACACUGGUACUGAGACACGGACCAGACUCCUACGGGAGGCAGCAGUGAGGAAUAUUGGACAAUGGGCGAGAGCCUGAUCCAGCCAUGCCGCGUGCAGGAAGACUGCCCUAUGGGUUGUAAACUGCUUUUACAGAGGAAGAACCACUCCCACGUGUGGGAGUUUGACGGUACUCUGCGAAUAAGGAUCGGCUAACUCCGUGCCAGCAGCCGCGGUAAUACGGAGGAUCCAAGCGUUAUCCGGAAUCAUUGGGUUUAAAGGGUCCGUAGGCGGGCAGUUAAGUCAGUGGUGAAAGUCUUCCGCUCAACGGGAGAACUGCCAUUGAUACUGAUUGUCUUGAGUUAUUAUGAAGUGGUUAGAAUGAGUAGUGUAGCGGUGAAAUGCAUAGAUAUUACUCAGAAUACCGAUUGCGAAGGCAGAUCACUAAUAAUAUACUGACGCUGAUGGACGAAAGCGUAGGUAGCGAACAGGAUUAGAUACCCUGGUAGUCUACGCCGUAAACGAUGGUUACUAGCUGUUCGGCCCGAUUAAGGGCUGAGUGGUUAAGCGAAAGUGAUAAGUAACCCACCUGGGGGAGUACGUUCGCAAGAAUGAAACUCAAAGGAAUUGACGGGGGCCCGCACAAGCGGUGGAGCAUGUGGUUUAAUUCGAUGAUACGCGAGGAACCUUACCAGGGCUUAAAUGUAGUCUGACAGGCUGGAAACAGCUUUUUUCUUCGGACAGAUUAC
rnacentral:rRNA from 1 species